rnacentral:rRNA from 1 species
UCGAAAGGGGGGCUAAUACCGCAUAGGACCACCGGGGCUUUGGCUCUGUGGUGAAAGGGGGCCUCUGUUUACAAGCUCCUGCUUCUGGAUGAGCCCGCGUCCCAUCAGCUAGUUGGUAGGGUAAUGGCCUACCAAGGCUACGACGGGUAGCUGGUCUAAGAGGAUGGCCAGCCACACUGGAACUGAGACACGGUCCAGACUCCUACGGGAGGCAGCAGUGGGGAAUCUUGCGCAAUGGGCGAAAGCCUGACGCAGCGACGCCGCGUGGGUGACGAAGGCCUUCGGGUUGUAAAGCCCUGUGGGGUAGAACGAACUGGCAUCGGGCUAAUAUCCCGGUGUCUUGACGGUACUGCCUUAGCAAGCAUCGGCUAACUCUGUGCCAGCAGCCGCGGUAAGACAGAGGAUGCGAACGUUGCUCGGAUUUACUGGGCGUAAAGCGCGUGUAGGCGGUCUCGUUAGUCGGGUGUGAAAGCCCCGGGCUCAACCCGGGAAGUGCACCCGAUACUGCGAGACUGG